UGCCCAUUUUGUCAGCACAAAACUAAAAGUGGAACCAUACAGAGAAUAGCAUGGCCUCCAUUUAAGGAUGACAUGCAAAUUCUUGAAUUCUGGCUCCAUUUU